CUGGUCAAACGUAAUGCACUAGAAAGGGAAUAGGGCACCAUUUGGGACAUGGACAUACUGUCACUAAAUUGCACUUUAAUUUAACCUGGGCCACGUGAAGGAAUAGAGAAGUCUGAUUCUGGAGGGAGAGAGUGGUGGAGGGAGAGAGUGGUGGAGGGAGAGAGUGGUGGAGGGAGAGAGUGGUGGAGGGAGAGAGGGAUGGAGGGAGAGAGUGAUGGAGGGGGUGGAGGGAGAGAGUGAUGGAGGGGUGGAGGGAGAGAGUGAUGGAGGGGUGGAGGGAGAGAGUGGUGGAGGGGUGGAGGGAGAGAGUGAUGGAGGGGUGGAGGGAGAGAGUGGUGGAGGGGUGGAGGGAGAGAGUGA
ensembl:lncRNA